GAUCAUGGCUCAGGAUGAACGCUAGCUACAGGCUUAACACAUGCAAGGUCGAGGGGAAACGAUAUUGAAGCUUGCUUCUUAGGCGUCGACCGGCGAAUGGGUGAGUAACGCGUAUCCAACCUGCCCCUGAGUAAGGGAUAGCCCAUCGAAAGAUGGAUUAAUACCUUAUGGUUUCCUUUGAAGGCAUCAGAUUAGGAAUAAAGAUUUAUCGCUGAGGGAUGGGGAUGCGUCUGAUUAGCUUGUUGGCGGGGUAACGGCCCACCAAGGCGACGAUCAGUAGGGGUUCUGAGAGGAAGGUCCCCCACAUUGGUACUGAGACACGGACCAAACUCCUACGGGAGGCAGCAGUGAGGAAUAUUGGUCAAUGGGCGCAAGCCUGAACCAGCCAAGUAGCGUGCAGGAUGACUGCCCUAUGGGUUGUAAACUGCUUUUAUACGGGGAUAAAGUCAGGGUCGUGACCCUGUUUGCAGGUACCGUAUGAAUAAGGACCGGCUAAUUCCGUGCCAGCCGCGGC
rnacentral:rRNA from 1 species